rnacentral:rRNA from 1 species
GGAGUUAGCCGGUGCUUCUUCUGUGAGUGAUGUCCUUCCUGCCGGCUAUUAACCCGCAGGCCUUCUUCCUCACUGAAAGUGCUUUACAACCCGAAGGCCUUCUUCACACACGCGGCAUGGCUGGAUCAGGGUUGCCCCCAUUGUCCAAUAUUCCCCACUGCUGCCUCCCGUAGGAGUCUGGGCCGUGUCUCAGUCCCAGUGUGGCUGAUCAUCCUCUCAGACCAGCUACGGAUCGUCGCCUUGGUGAGCCGUUACCUCACCAACCAGCUAAUCCGACAUAGGCUCAUCCGAUAGCGCGAGGCCCGAAGGUCCCCCGCUUUCCCCCGUAGGGCGUAUGCGGUAUUAGCCUGGGUUUCCCCAGGUUAUCCCCCACUACCGGGCAGAUUCCUAUGCAUUACUCACCCGUCCGCCGCUCGCCACCAGGGAGCAAGCUCCCCGUGCUGCCGCUCGACUUGCAUGUGUUAGGCCUGCCGCCAGCGUUCAAUCUGAGCCAGGAUCAACUACUGA